rnacentral:rRNA from 1 species
CCUACGGGUGGCAGCAGUGGGGGAUAUUGCGCAAUGGGGGAAACCCUGACGCAGCAACGCCGCGUGAAGGAAGAAGGCCUUCGGGUUGUAAACUUUUGUCUUUUGGGAAGAAGAAUGACGGUACCAAAGGAGGAAGCCACGGCUAACUACGUGCCAGCAGCCGCGGUAAUACGUAGGUGGCGAGCGUUGUUCGGAAUUACUGGGUGUAAAGGGCGUGUAGGCGGGCAGAUAAGUCAGAUGUGAAAUACCGGGGCUCAACCCCGGGGCUGCAUUUGAAACUGUAUGUCUUGAGUGCCGGAGAGGAAAGCGGAAGUCCUAGUGUAGCGGUGAAAUGCGUAGAUAUUAGGAGGAACACCAGUGGCGAAGGCGGCUUUCUGGACGGUAACUGACGCUGAGGCGCGAAAGCGUGGGGAGCAAACAGGAUUAGAUACCCUGGUAGUC